rnacentral:rRNA from 2 species
UACGGAGGAUGCAAGCGUUAUCCGGAAUGAUUGGGCGUAAAGGGUUCGCAGGUGGUAGUGAAAGUUUGCUGUUAAAAGUCGGGGCUCAACCCCGAACCGGCGGUGAAAACUACACAACUAGAGUGCGGUAGGGGCAGAGGGAAUUCCUGGUGUAGCGGUGAAAUGCGUAGAGCUCAGGAAGAACACCGGUGGCGAAAGCGCUCUGCUAGACCUGCACUGACACUGAGGGACGAAAGCUAGGGGAGCGAAUGGG